rnacentral:rRNA from 1 species
GCCCUAGUAACGGCGAGUGAAGCGGCAACAGCUCAAAUUUGAAAUCUGGCGCAAGCCCGAGUUGUAAUUUGUAGAGGAUGCUUCUAGGUAGCGACCGGUCUAAGUUCCUUGGAACAGGACGUCAUAGAGGGUGAGAAUCCCGUAUGUGACCGGCCCGCACCUUCUACGUAGCUCCUUCGACGAGUCGAGUUGUUUGGGAAUGCAGCUCUAAAUGGGAGGUAAAUUUCUUCUAAAGCUAAAUACCGGCCAGAGACCGAUAGCGCACAAGUAGAGUGAUCGAAAGAUGAAAAGCACUUUGGAAAGAGAGUUAAAAAGCACGUGAAAUUGUUGAAAGGGAAGCGCUUACAACCAGACUUCUGGGCGGUGUUCCGCCGGUCUUUUGACCGGUCUACUCGCCGUCCCGAGGCCAACAUCAUCUGGGACCGCUGGAUAAGACCUCAGGAAUGUAGCUCCCCUCGGGGAGUGUUAUAGCCUGUGGUGAUGCAGCGCGUCUCGGGUGAGGUCCGCGCUUCGGCAAGGAUGUUGGCGUAAUGGUUGUCAGCGGCCCGUCUUGAAACACGGACCAAGGAGUCUAACAUCUAUGCGAGUGUUCGGGUGUCAAACCCCUACGCGUAAUGAAAGUGAACGGAGGUGGGAAGGGUAACCUGCACCAUCGACCGAUCCUGAUGUCCUCGGAUGGAUUUGAGUAAGAGCAUAGCUGUUGGGACCCGAAAGAUGGUGAACUAUGCCUGAAUAGGGUGAAGCCAGAGGAAACUCUGGUGGAGGCUCGCAGCGGUUCUGACGUGCAAAUCGAUCGUCAAAUUUGGGUAUAGGGGCGAAAGACUAAUCGAACCAU